AUACGGAGGGUGCAAGCGUUAUCCGGAAUCAUUGGGUUUAAAGGGUCCGCAGGCGGUCAAUUAAGUCAGAGGUGAAAGCCCAUCGCUCAACGAUGGAACUGCCUUUGAUACUGGUUGACUUGAGUUAUACGGAAGUAGAUAGAAUAAGUAGUGUAGCGGUGAAAUGCAUAGAUAUUACUUAGAAUACCGAUUGCGAAGGCAGUCUACUACGUAUAUACUGACGCUGAGGGACGAAAGCGUGGGGAGCGAACAGGAUUAGAUACCCUAGUAGUCC
rnacentral:rRNA from 1 species